AUUAUGAGUUUCUGAGAAUUACAACUGCUCCACUUCAAGCAAGAUUGCUGGUUUCCUUGGACAAGCAACACUACAAACUCAUUGAGAGAAGACCAGAGAUAUAAUCUUCAUCUUCAAGUUCUUGAUCUGAGCCUGGAGGUGAAUGUAUGAAGAGAGUAUCUCCUGAAAUGUCUUAUGGUGUAUUUAGUGGAAGAUGUGGACCAACUGUUUAAACACUGGUUGUUCAGAAAGGUGAAGCUCAGGCUGAACUUGAGAGGUGCACGAUGGCCCUGUUUGCCCUCAGGGAGGAAGAGGACUGUCUUCAGCCACCACAGGAAGUCAGUCGCACAUGAAUGUUCCAUGUUUG